UUAGGAAUCUACCUAGUAGUGGGGGAUAGCACGGGGAAACUCGUAUUAAUACCGCAUACGACCUACGGGAGAAAGGGGGCAGUUUACUGCUCUCGCUAUUAGAUGAGCCUAAGUCGGAUUAGCUAGAUGGUGGGGUAAAGGCCUACCAUGGCGACGAUCUGUAGCUGGUCUGAGAGGAUGAUCAGCCACACCGGGACUGAGACACGGCCCGGACUCCUACGGGAGGCAGCAGUGGGGAAUAUUGGACAAUGGGGGAAACCCUGAUCCAGCCAUGCCGCGUGUGUGAAGAAGGCCUUUUGGUUGUAAAGCACUUUAAGCAGUGAAGAAGACUCUGUGGUUAAUACCCACAGACGAUGACAUUAGCUGCAGAAUAAGCACCGGCUAACUCUGUGCCAGCAGCCGCGGUAAUACAGAGGGUGCAAGCGUUAAUCGGAAUUACUGGGCGUAAAGGGAGCGUAGGUGGCUCGAUAAGUCAGAUGUGAAAUCCCCGGGCUCAACCUGGGAACUGCAUCUGAUACUGUCGUGCUAGAGUAUGUGAGAGGAAGGUAGAAUUCCAGGUGUAGCGGUGAAAUGCGUAGAGAUCUGGAGGAAUACCGAUGGCGAAGGCAGCCUUCUGGCAUAAUACUGACACUGAGGCUCGAAAGCGUGGGUAGCAAACAGGAUUAGAUACCCUGGUAGUCCACGCCGUAAACGAUGUCUACUAGUCGUUGGGUCCCUUGAGGACUUAGUGACGCAGCUAACGCAAUAAGUAGACCGCCUGGGGAGUACGGCCGCAAGGUUAAAACUCAAAUGAAUUGACGGGGGCCCGCACAAGCGGUGGAGCAUGUGGUUUAAUUCGAUGCAACGCGAAGAACCUUACCU
rnacentral:rRNA from 1 species